rnacentral:rRNA from 1 species
CAUUAGCUAGUUGGUAGGGUAAUGGCCUACCAAGGCGACGAUGGUUAGCUGGUCUGAGAGGAUGAUCAGCCACACUGGAACUGAGACACGGUCCAGACUCCUACGGGAGGCAGCAGUGAGGAAUAUUGCGCAAUGGGGGCAACCCUGACGCAGCAACGCCGCGUGAGUGAGGAAGGUUUUCGGACCGUAAAGCUCUGUCGAGCGGGAAGAAAUGCAUGGUGGCUAAUAUCCAUCAUGCUUGACGGUACCGCUAAAGGAAGCACCGGCUAACUCCGUGCCAGCAGCCGCGGUAAUACGGGGGGUGCGAGCGUUGUUCGGAAUUAUUGGGCGUAAAGAGCGUGUAGGCGGCCGAAUAAGUCAGAUGUGAAAUCCCUGGGCUUAACCCAGGACGUGCAUUUGAAACUAUUCGGCUAGAGUAGGGGAGAGGAAAGUGGAAUUCCUGGUGUAGAGGUGAAAUUCGUAGAUAUCAGGAGGAACACCGGUGGCGAAGGCGACUUUCUGGCCCUAUACUGACGCUGAGACGCGAGAGCGUGGGUAGCAAACAGGAUUAGAUACCCUGGUAGUCCACGCUGUAAACGAUGUUCACUAGGUGUUGGGGGUAUUGACCCUCUCAGUGCCGCAGCUAACGCA